GCGGAGCGAAGAUGGAACAUUGCCCCCAAGGCAUACAAAGACAUGAAGAAUGUUGGCCCUUCACCCUCACCACCCAUAACAGUUGCACUCAACAAAUUCUCUCCAUGGAGAAAGGAAAACUCAAACUCGUAAUUAUCUAGUAGAAACUUGUGACACUCUAAAAAGGUCUGCAUCUCCUCCUCCAUUGUUGUACAUUCAAAGGACCCGCUGCUGAUAAACAUAUCCACCGAUCUCUUUCUUACCCCAAUCCAUCUUCUUCCCUGC
rnacentral:lncRNA from 1 species